AUUCUUGAUUAGACAGUAUAUAUACUAAAAUUGAAAUGUUAUAUAGAAAACUAACAUGGCCCCAGCAAGAAAGUAACAGGCACAUUUUUGAAGUGCUCCGUAUUUUU